AAGACCGUACUUCCACAGGAUCAUUUUUACAGUACCUUUGUUUCUACUUGGCCUUUCUAGAGAUCGUUUGCUAACCCUUUCCCGCUCAGCGGACGG
rnacentral:snoRNA from 1 species